AACCACUCACGCCUAGCGUGGUAUUGGGGCACGCGGUCUCUGCGGCCCUCAAAAUCAGUGGCGGCGCCGGUGGGCUCUAAGCGUAGUACAUACUCCCGCUAUAGAGUUCCCCCGGUGGCUCGCCAGAACCCCCCAAUUUUUACA
rnacentral:misc_RNA from 1 species